AAAGAAACCAACAGGGAUUGCCCUAGUAACGGCGAGUGAAGCGGCAACAGCUCAAAUUUGAAAUCUGGCGUAAGCCCGAGUUGUAAUUUGUAGAGGAUGCUUCGGGGUAGCGGCCGGUCUAAGUUCCUUGGAACAGGACGUCAUAGAGGGUGAGAAUCCCGUACGUGACUGGCUUGCACCCUCCACGUAGCUCCUUCGACGAGUCGAGUUGUUUGGGAAUGCAGCUCUAAAUGGGAGGUAAAUUUCUUCUAAAGCUAAAUACCGGCCAGAGACCGAUAGCGCACAAGUAGAGUGAUCGAAAGAUGAAAAGCACUUUGGAAAGAGAGUUAAAAAGCACGUGAAAUUGUUGAAAGGGAAGCGCCCGCAACCAGACUUUGCGGCGGUGUUCGGCCGGUCUUCUGACCGGUUUACUCGCCGCCGUGAGGCCAUCAUCGUCUGGGACCGCUGGAUAAGACCCGAGGAAUGUAGCUCCCUUCGGGGUGUGUUAUAGCCUCGGGUGAUGCAGCGCGUCCCGGGCGAGGUCCGCGCUUCGGCAAGGAUGAUGGCGUAAUGGUUGUCGGCGGCCCGUCUUGA
rnacentral:rRNA from 1 species